CGCAAGCCCAGCUCCCGCGCGCCCGAACCGAGCGGAAUCUCCAGCUCUGCGCGAGCCAGGUAAUAGUACUUCCCGCCAAGCGAAUCGUCGGUCCAGUUGCUCCGGUCGGGGUCGGGCUUGAGCUCGCUGGUGCCGUCAUCCUCG
rnacentral:misc_RNA from 1 species